rnacentral:rRNA from 3 species
ACGGGUGAGUAAUGCCUAGGAAUCUGCCUGGUAGUGGGGGACAACGUUUCGAAAGGAACGCUAAUACCGCAUACGUCCUACGGGAGAAAGCAGGGGACCUUCGGGCCUUGCGCUAUCAGAUGAGCCUAGGUCGGAUUAGCUAGUUGGUGAGGUAAUGGCUCACCAAGGCGACGAUCCGUAACUGGUCUGAGAGGAUGAUCAGUCACACUGGAACUGAGACACGGUCCAGACUCCUACGGGAGGCAGCAGUGGGGAAUAUUGGACAAUGGGCGAAAGCCUGAUCCAGCCAUGCCGCGUGUGUGAAGAAGGUCUUCGGAUUGUAAAGCACUUUAAGUUGGGAGGAAGGGUUGUAGAUUAAUACUCUGCAAUUUUGACGUUACCGACAGAAUAAGCACCGGCUAACUCUGUGCCAGCAGCCGCGGUAAUACAGAGGGUGCAAGCGUUAAUCGGAAUUACUGGGCGUAAAGCGCGCGUAGGUGGUUUGUUAAGUUGGAUGUGAAAUCCCCGGGCUCAACCUGGGAACUGCAUCCAAAACUGGCAAGCUAGAGUAUGGUAGAGGGUGGUGGAAUUUCCUGUGUAGCGG